UUUUUGUAAGCCCAAUUGCAGCAGGGGCUUCCUUUCCCUCAGCUGUAACAAUCACAUAUUGAUCUUUUUCGAUGUCAUCAGGCAAAUUGCCGCCUUUGGAAACCAAGCCAGGAAUCAUAAUAUUGGCACCCGAGAGAAGGAAUUUGAUAGCUCCUCUGUCUACUCGAACUUGAGUAAAGGCAUCCGGACCUAGGCGUAUUAGUAUAUAUUUGAACUAAACACAGAUAUGUUGUUGUCGAUUCUGACCAGCUAGACAAAAACCAGAACUCCAAUCAAACGUUGCGGUUACGUUAGCUUAUACUCACAUUUAUGAACAAGACGAAGAGAAGGAAUGAUAGGGCCGUCGAAGUGCUGGAAAAGGAUAAUUUCGCCAUUCAAAGUAUACAAAAAUAAACGAUCCUCACUUAAACAAUAUCAGUACGACAUACUAAAAAUCACGGAUGCUGAUAAGAACGAACCAUUUUAUUUGAGUUAGUUGUGAUUUUUUGGGAAUUAACUCAUCGAUAACUUGUUUUAAGUUAGGAUAAGCUUGUACUAGUUUUGCUUUUAUUCCUCUUUGAAUAGAAGACUUGAUUGGAGUAGUUCCCUUUAUAUCUUCUCUAGAGUUAAAUCUGUUGAGGUUAGCAAUCAUCCUACAAAAUUAUAAAUCCAAUUUAGAGCAAUACCGUUUGAACAUAUUAUUGAGUAUAUAGGAGCUGCAGACCAUUGCUACAAUAAGUUACUAGGUUGUAGCCGCGGU